AUACCGCAUACGCUCUACGGAGGAAAGGAAAUCGAAAGAUUUUCACCUUAGGAUGAGCCUACGUCAGAUUAGCUAGUUGGUAGGGCAAAGGCCUACCAAGGCGAUGAUCUGUAGCUGUUCCGAGAGGAAGGACAGCCACACUGGGACUGAGACACGGCCCAGACUCCUACGGGAGGCAGCAGUGGGGAAUCUUGGACAAUGGGGGAAACCCUGAUCCAGCAAUGCCGCGUGUGUGAAGAAGGCCUGCGGGUUGUAAAGCACUUUCAGUGGUGAAGAGGACCCCUUCGGGGGUCGGACGUUAACCACAGAAAAAGCACCGGCUAACUCUGUGCCAGCAGCCGCGGUAAUACAGAGGGUGCGAGCGUUAAUCGGAAUUAUUGGGGCGUUAAAGGGCGCGUA
rnacentral:rRNA from 1 species